CAUUAUUUUCACUUGGACUUUAAACCAAGACCUAAGGCACGAAAAGCCCUCGCUGUAUUUCAACUAUAAAAACUCAAUAAUUAAAUUA
rnacentral:tRNA from 1 species